UGAGUAACCUGCCCUUAACUCUGGGAUAAGCCUGGGAAACUGGGUCUAAUACCGGAUAUGACUCCUCAUCGCAUGGUGGGGGGUGGAAAGCUUUAUUGUGGUUUUGGAUGGACUCGCGGCCUAUCAGCUUGUUGGUGGGGUAACGGCCUACCAAGGCAGCGAUCGGUAGCUGGUCUGAGAGGAUGAUCAGCUACACUGGGACUGCGACACGGCCCAGACUCCUACGGGAGCAG
rnacentral:rRNA from 1 species